CGGGACUGAAUAGGGGUUAAUCAGAGGAUGCGAUUGCUGACCAUUUGCACUUUGGCAUGGCCCAUCCCCUAAUUUCUGACCAGAAGCCCUCCCUCUACCUUAAGGUCGCUGACGCGAAAGGCUGAGCCACGCCCUUCCAUCUAUUGGCCGGCUCCGGAGUUGGUGGGCAUGGCUUGGUGCAAUGCCGCUUGGCAAAGGGGUAGCCUCCUUGCCAAUCAGAGCCAGGGCGCCCGGAGAGGCGGGAUCAGGGCGAGGCCCCGGCGCCCUCGGAUGGGCGUGGCCACGUUGCCCAGCAGUGGGCGGUGAUUGGCCCCGGACUGCGAUUCGCAGCUCGUGCGUCACGACGCCGCCAGCUGAUCGGAGCCUGGAGCCGGUGUGUGCUGGGCGCCGAGAAGAGACAGCGCCGCCGGCCGUGGGGAGCGGACGCAGUGAUUUGCUCCCCUCCGCGCAGCAGCCCCCACACCCAGCACCAGGAGCCCUCGCCUCUCAUCCGCUCACCUGGCUGAGCCGCAGUAGUUCUUCAGUGGCAAGCUUUAUGUCCUGACCCCGCUAAAGCUGCCAGUUGAAGAACUGUUGCCCUCUGCCCCUGGCUUCGAGGAAGACAAGGAGGAGCUGCUUUCCCCAGCAUCUGGAAGGUGACAGAACCGGGGCUGGGAAGGUCCGCACGGCAGGGUUGGUGAUACGUUUUGGGAAAGCUGGAGAGCCUUUGCCCAGUUGGGCCCUGCAAGGAGCAGUUUUAGAUUAGCGACACUGGCUGAAUUGAGGAGGAGAAGGCUCAAACAACCCAAGUGUCUCCCUCCAGCCCUCGGCAUGUUCUUCUACCAUCUUCACCCGUCAUGGAGCAGAGGUGAGGAAAGGCAGCUUGGGAACACAGAGACCAGUGAAGGACCAGGCCUGGACAGCACAGGGUCCUCCCUGGGCCUCCAACAGAGGCCAUAAAGGCCGGAGCACCCCAAGAGGAGGGAGCACAGCCAGCCUCCAUCGAUGGCAAGUCUCCAGCCUCCUGCUUUGGUCACCAUUUCUCUCCAGUCUUUCUGCCUCUGAGAUGGGGCACUGUCAUGCAGUGCCCUGCGGCUUCAGCGCCCUACUUCCUCCUCCCAGCCUGUAAUGUUUAUAUAAGCAGACUCAAGGACCAAGAGCCAGCUGUGGAAGGACACACACAGGAAAUUCAUAAAGGAAAUUCUAAUGGCUAAAACCCCGAACAAAAUGUAUGCUUCAUUAGUAAUUAAAGAAAGGCAAAUAGAGCUGAAAGCAUUUUUCCCUUAGCAAACCAUCACAGAAAAAAAUAAGACCCAGUAUUGGCAAAGAGACUGCUAAAAUAACAUGCCCAUACAUUGUGUGUGGGAGGAUAGACUGGUGCCGGCUUCCUGGAUGGCAGUUUGGUGAUAUGUGCCAUGUAGCCUAAAAGCGUCCAUGUCCUUUGACCUGCUAAUUCUAUCUUUGGGAAUUUAUCCUAAGAAAAUAAAUAAGGAUUUAGUUAGUUAUAAGAUGUUCAUCCCCGCGCUGCAAUGGAGAAAAAUGGGAAGCAAUGGCGUGGUUGGGAAUUCAUUCCUUUUCUGCUGUAAUGAAAGUUUGCAAUAGGGGAUUGCUUAAGUAUAUUAUUGUAUAUCCAUCCAGAUGGUGGAGUACUGCACAGACAUUAAAAGUAAUGUAAAAGAACAUCUGACAGAAAAAUGCUCCUUGAAUAUUAAGAGGUUGUAAAAAUAGUGAAUGUUAUGUGAUCUCAAUUUUGUUUUUUAAAAUCUGGGUUUAUACUCACUGUUUACAUAGAACAGAUAAAGACUGAAGGCCUACUAAAAAAUGUUUAGUGGUUAUCUUUGGAUAGUGGAAUAAAAUUGUGAUUUUCAUCUUUGGUUUUUCUGUAAUUUCCAAAUUUUCUACAUGAAUGGUGUAUGACUUUCAUAUAAUAUAAUUUAAGA